UCUCUUCAAGGAUGAGUGUGAAAGGAAAGGGAGAAAGAGUGAAGAAGUCACCCAAAAUAUAACUUCACUUUCCAAAAUGAACCUAAAGUCUUACUAAAGCCAGCAGUACCAAUGAACCAACUGCGAAUUGCUCUUGGAAUUUUAUAGUAACAGCUAUUAAGACAUUUGCAGUAUUUUGGUUCUAACGUAAAUCCUCAGUGUUGCAAUUCAACUUAUUAAAAUGUAUGUAUAUUUUCAAAUAUUUUCCGUGAUUUGUUUCCCCUAAGUGAAUAAUGAGCUUAAAAGACUAGAAGUGAAAUUGUCUUCAAUUCAUUAAAGUCUCUACUCGUAAUUUCCUUGCCUUUAACUGCCAAGUAGUUAUUCUUAGGAAAAGUCCUCAGCUUUUCAAAGGAAAGUGAAUGGGCGCAGAAAGAUUUCCGGGUCUGGGGAAUCGUUUCAGGGCUAAAACACCCCAGCUCUCACCCCAACUUUUAACACUUUACAAAUGACGCUGUCCCUGACCACACAGGACUGAGCCUUCCCUUCGCCUCCCGCGUUUGGCUCGGGGGAGCAGUGCUCAUCUUAAAGAGGAACCGAAAAGUUUCAGCAGUGUGCCUCCGGGGCGUCGGCCGCCCCCCGCGCACAGCCCCCACCACCCCCUCAGCCGGAGGCGCUCACCGUUGUGCUCGCCAUAGCCCCAGCUGCGCCUGGCCAUGGUCCCUCGGGUGCAAGGCAGGAGAGAUCCUCAAACAACACUCCUUUGAGGAAGAUAGUGGAGGAAAGUUUUCCGGCCAUCUUUUCCUGAAUGCAUGAUCAGCUUGCUGCCCUAAGACUGGAAGGUGAACUAACUGCAGAUCCUUGAAUUCCUGUCCUGGAAUAGUGUGUGUUCUGGGCUCCUAGUGAAAAAUAAAGAAAACUCCAUGACCUACCAGGAUUAUAAUUACCGUUCCAACUGCCUAACAGUGUGAGUUGGGUCAAUUUGAAAUUUCAAUGAA